rnacentral:rRNA from 1 species
UGUAAGCGUAUACCAAAGUUGUUGCAGUUAAAACGCUCGUAGUCGGAAUUUGGCAGUUCCGGAUGUGUGCACGUCGUGUGCGCACUUCGCGGGGAUUGCUUUUGUGGUCUUGCGUAGGAUGAGGCACUUUUAUUAGUGAACGUCCUCACGCAACCACUUUUUACUGUGAGAAAAUCAGGGUGCUCAAAGCAGGCAUUUACCGUGAAUGUAUUAGCAUGGAAUAAUAGAAUAGGACUUGGUUCUAUUUUGUUGGUUUGUUGGGACUGAGUAAUGAUUAAGAGGGACAGUUGGGGGCAUUUGUAUUUCGGUGCUAGAGGUGAAAUUCUUAGAUUACCGAAAGACAAACUGCUGCGAAAGCGUCUGCCAAGGAUGUUUUCAUUGA